CGUUACAUCCUAAGGAUUUUGUCCCAGUGUGGUGCCAGAGUAUUUGAAUAUUUUAAUGCAAAAUCCAAGCAUAGUUGGAGAAAACAGAUAUAAGACCAAAUGACCAGGCUAUGUUCUCCGAGUUGCCACUCUGUCUCCGUCAAAUGGCAGCAACUCAAUCCAGAUGCGCCCGAGGCCCUGCAGGCCCCAGCCCAGGUGCCGUCCUUGUUUUGCAAUGAUCGACUCCUUGUCUAUGGAUUCAUUCCUCAUUGCACACAGGCAACUUUGUGUGCACUAAUUUAAGAGAAAGAAUUUUUGUACAAUAGUGUCGACUAUUGAGCUUCAGAAGACAACUGGAACUUUAAGAUUCAAAACCUAAACUAUCGACCCAUUGUUUGAAAGUUAUGAUUUUAUAACUCACGAGGUGGACCUCGUGAUCCACCCGCCUCGGCCUCCCAAAGUGCUGGGAUUACAGGCAUGAGCCACUGCACCUGGUCAAAUAAAUUUUUGUUUAACCAACAAAAAUUAAGGACAAAGAAGAGCAUUCCUUAUAGAAUGUUAAAGGGCACAAUUCAACCAGAAGACUUAGCCUAAAUAUGUACACACUCAACAUUGGAGCACCCAAAUUCAUAAAACAAGUUGUUCUUGGCCUACAAAAAGAUGUAGACACACAAUAACAGCAGGAGACCUCAACAACCCGCUGACAGCAAUAGACUGAUCAUUGAGGCAGAAAACUAACAAACUCUGUACUUGCACUUGACACUUGACCAAUUGGACCUGAUAGACAUCUACAGAACGCUUUGCCCAACAAACACAGAAGAUACAUUCUCAUGUGCACACAGAACAUAUUCUAAGAUCAACCACAUGCUUGGCCAUAAAGCAAGCCUCAAUAAAUUCAAAAAGUUUGAAAUCAUACCAAGCACACACUCUGACCACAGUGAGACAAAAAUAGAAAUCAGUAUCAAGAAGAUCUCUCAAAACUACAUAAAUACAUGGAAAUUACAUAAUUUGCUCCUGAAUAACUCCUGGGUGAAAAUCUAAAUUAAGGCAGAAAUAAAAAAAUUCUUUGCAAUUAAUGAAAAUAGGGACACAACAUACCAGAAUCUCUGGGAUGCAGCUAAAGCAGUGUUAAGAGGAAAGUUUAUAGCACGAAAUGCCUUCAUCAAGAAGUUAGAAAUAUCUCAAAUUAACAUUCCUACUUUGCACUUAAGGGAACUAGAAAAAAAGGAUAAACUAACUCCAAAGCUGGCAGAAGAGAAAUAACUAAAAUUAGAGAAGCACUGAAUGAAGUGCUUUUUGAAGUGCUGUUUUUUUAGACUAGAUGCAAAAAUCCACACAAAACAUCAAUGAAACCAAUAAUUAGUUUUUCAAAAAAUAAACAAGAUGGAUAGCCUGAUAGCUAAACAAAGAAAAAAAGAGAAGAGCCAAAUAAGUACAAUCAUAAAUGACAAAGAUGACAUUACAAACAAUCCCACAGAAAUACAAAAGAUCCUCAGAGAAUACUACAAACAACUCUAUGCACACAAAUUAGAUAAUCUAGAGGAAAUGGAGAAAUUCCUGGAAACAUACAAUCUCCCAAGAUUGAACUAGAAAGAGAUUGAAACCUUAAAUAGAAAAAUACCGAGUUCCAAAAUCAAAUCAUUAAUAUAAAAUCUACCAACAAGGAAAAGCCCUGGACCAGAUGAAGCCACAGCUGAAUUCUACCAGAUGUACAAAGAACUGGUACUAGUUCUAUUGAAACUGUUCCAAAGAACUGAGGAUGAGGGGUUCCUCCCUAACUCAGUCUAUGAAGCCAGCAUCAGCCUAAUACCAAAAUCCGGCAGAGAAACACACAAAAAGAAAACUUCAGGCCAAUUACUCUGAUUAAUGUAGACACAAAAAUUCUUAACCAAAUACUAGGAAACAGAAUCCAGCAGCACAUCGAUAAGUUAACACACCACAAUCAAGAAGGCUUCAGUACAGGGAUGCAAGGCUGGUUCAAUAUACGCAAAUCAAUAAAUGCUAUUCACCACAUAAACAGAACUAAAAGCAAAAACCAUAUCAUCAUCUCAAUAGAUGCAGAAACAGCUUUUGAUAAAAUCCAACAUCCCUUCACAUUAAAAACCUCAACAGACUAGACAUCAAGGGAACAUACCUCAAAAUAAUAAGAGCCAUCUAUGACAAACUCACAGCUACCAACCUACUGAAUGGGCAAAACUUGGAACCAAUCCCCAUGAGAAAUGGAGCAAGACAAUGAUGCCGACUCUCACCACUCCUAUUCAACAUAGCACUGGAAGUCCUACCUAGAGAACUCAGGCAGGAGAAAGAAAGAAUAGGCAUCCAAAUAGGAAAAGAAGAAGUCAAACUAUCUCUCUUUGCUGGUGAUAUGAUUCUAUAUCCAGAAAACCAGAGACUCUGCCAAAAGGCUACUAGAACUGAUAAACAACUUUAGCAAAGUUUCAGGAUAAAAAAAUCAAUGUAUCAAAAUCAAUGGUAUUUCUAUACACCAAUAAUGUCCAGGCUGAAAGUUAAAUCAAGAACAGAAUCCCAUUUACGGUAGAAACAAGGAAAAUGAAAUAACUAGGAAUACAGCUAACAAAGGAUGUGAAAGAUCUCUACAAGAAGUACAAAACACUGUAGAAGGAAAUCAGAGAUAACACAAUUAAAUGGAAAAACAUUCCAUGCUCAUGGAUUGGAAGAAUCAGUAUCAUUCAAAUGGCCACACUGCUCAAAGCAACUGACAGAUUCAGUGCUAUUUCUAUCAAACUACCAAUGUCAUUCUUCACAGAAUUAGAAAAAAGUAUUCUAAAAGUCAUAUGAAACCAAAAGAUGGCCUCAACAGCCUGAGCAAAUCUAAGCAAAAGGGCAAAGCCAGAGGCUUCAAACUAUAAGGCUAUAGUAUCCAAAACAGCAUGGUACUGGUACAAAAGCAGACAUAUAGACCAACGGAAUAGAACAGAAAACCCAGAAUAAAGCCUUACACUUACAACCAGCUGAUACUGCAAGCUGACAAAAACAAGCAAUGGGGAAAGGACUCCCUAUUCAAUAAAUGGUGUUGGGGUAACUGGCUAGCAAUAUGCAGAAUAAUGAUACUCGACCCAUACCUUUCAUCAUAUACAAAAAUUAACUGGAGAUAGAUUAAAGAUUUAAAUUUAAGACCUCAAGUGAUAAAAAUCCUAGAAGAAAACCUCAGAAAUACCCUUCUUGACAUUGGCCUUGGGAAAGAAUUUUUAACUAAGUCCCCAAAAGCAAUUGCAAUAACAACAAAGAUUGACAAGUGGGACCUAAUAAAGCUAAAGCGCUUUGGCACAGCAAGAGAAAUGAUCGACAGAGCAAACAGAUAACCCACAGAACAGGAGGAAACAUUUGCAAACUAUGCAUCCAACAAAGGUCUUAGACCUUAGACCAGAAUCUAUAAGGAACUCACACUAAUCCACACGCAGAAACCAAAUAACCCCAUUAAAAAUGUGGAAAGAACAUGACACAUACUUCUCAAAAGAAGACAUACAAGUGACCAAGGAGCAUCUGAAAAAAUGCUUCACAUCACGGAUUGUCAGAGAAGUGCAAAUCAAAACCACAGUGAGAUACCCUCUCACACUAGUCAGAAUGGAGAUUAAUAAAAAGUCAAAAACAACAGAUGCUGGCAAGGCUGCAGAGAAAAGGGAACCUUUAUACAUUGUUGGUGGGAGUGUAAAUUAGUUCAGCCACUGUGGAAAGCAGUCUGGAGAUUUCUCAAAGAACUUAAAAUGAGCUACCAUUUGACCCAGCAACCCCAUUAUUGGAUAUAUACCCAAUGGAAAAAAGACCAUUCUACCAAAAGACACACACACUGAUAUGUUCAUUGCUGUGCUAUUCACAAUAGUAAAGAUACGGAAUCAACCUAGGUGCCCAUCAGUGGUGGACUGGAUAAAGAAAAUGUGGUACAUAUACACGAUGGAAUUCUACACAGCCAUAAAUAUGAGUGAAAUCAGGUCUUUUGCAGCAAUAUAGAUGGAGCUGGAGGCCAUUAUCCUAAGCAAAUUAAUGCAGGACCAGAAAACCAAAUACCACAUAUUCUCACUUAUGAGAGCUAAACAACAGGUAUCUUUGGACAUAAGCUUGGGAACAAUAGACACUGUGGACUACUAGAGGGGGAUGGGGGGGUGCGGGUUGAAAAACUACCUAUUGGGUACU